rnacentral:sRNA from 2 species
AGACAUGACCUUCCCUAUAAAUACUGCCCACUUUUCAUGUAAUUAGUGGAGUUAUAAUAAGCAAUUCAAUUAUUCUAUCGAUAUUCAGUAUUUGGGGCAAUAUUCGGACUUUAUUAGUUUCGACAAACCUUCAGCAGUUGAUUGUUUUUCUGUUUUUUCUCCUUUAACCUUCUAACAACAAACUUGACAUAAUCUCUUAGCCAGAAUACAAUACUAAAUACAAAAUAAAUGUGUUCAUUAAUAGUAUGUCUUAUUAACUAUUCAAAUUUAAUCUCUAUUCACUAUAACUUAGAAUUUAUUAGAUAUUAAUAUUCUUUUGCUCAUCUUGAGCUGGCACUGAUGGCUUGAAUGAUAAAAAUUGGCUGUUGGAAGGGAUCAAGGGAAGGAUAAGCCAAAUGACUGCAAGCUAAAAGAAGUGCAAGCUGAAAUAAAGCUGACUGUGUAGAAUAAAUGUAUAAAAGCCAAGUAGAGUUGCUACAUAGCUGAUUACUUGAUUUAUCAGUUGAUAUCAAUUAUGAUUUUUUAACUAUAUCAAAAUUGGCUGGCACUAUAAUUAUUGCAAUACAUCCAAUUCCAC